AUAGAUCUAGUGUAUUUGGUAC
rnacentral:siRNA from 1 species